ACCUUAUUAAACUAUUCCCUUAAGUUAUCCUCUCUUGCUCUCCCAACUUGGCCAAAUUCAUCGCUCCCAUCGUCCUCCUCCUCCGCCACCUUGGCCGGUGCCGGGAGCAAGAGGGUCGCAGCGAUAAUCCCGUCUCGCCCCAGGUCAAUCAUCAUCUUCUUCUUCAUCAUCUGCUUUUCUUUCUAGAGAGAGAAAGAGAGGAAGAGGGAGACCUCACACUCACCACCUUCUUCCUAAGCAAGCCCAGCUUCUCUCUCUCUCUCUCUCUCUCUCUCUCUCUUCUCCUUCAUUAUCUGCUUCUUCUUGCUAGAGAGAGAAACUAGAGAGAGACAAAUAGUAUAGAGAGAGAGAGACCUCACACUCACCACCUUCUUCUUAAACCCCUUCUCUUUCUCUCUCUUUUUCUCCUUCCGCCCGAGGCCGUCCGCGUGCCGGGAGCAAGGGGGUGCGGUGUUGUAACACACUGGACCUUUGCAAAUUGCGAGGUUCGAGUUUUUGACCUGUGUGUCGAGCUUUUCCAGACUUUCUGGAAGGUCGUAGACAGUGUUCCGACCUAUGGCUCGCAGCCCGAGAAUUGUGGUUUUAAGCUUGGUACCAAAAUCCAAAAAUUGGAUUCAUUGGACAGCUCUCGGGUUAGCCUCAGCAGGGUGCUGUACCAGUACAAGGUUGAUGGUUGUACCGGUACAGGGCUGAUGGUUGUACCGGUACAAGGCUGGUCUUGUACCGGUACAAGGGCAGUUUUCCAGCAGACCCGAAGCUCGGGUUUGGCAGUUUCGUGGGCCUUGUACCGGUACAAGGGCCCGUGUACCGGUACAAGGUGGCUGAUUGUGAGCAGUUUGAACUGCAGGGGGCUUUUUGCGUUUGUGGCUAUCAAUUAGUAACCCAACGCCCCUUAGGGCUUCCCUGAGCGUCACAGCAGCAGGAGAAGAGGUAUGGGAGUUCUCCACACCCUCUCUCUCUAUUUCUUUGAUUUUGGUUGGUUUAAUUUGUGAUUUAAGCUUCUCUUUCUCCCUCUUUUUGCUUCUUGGUCUCUCUAUUUCUUUGAUUUUGGUUGGUUUAAUUUGUGAUUUAAGCUUCUCUUUCUCCCUCUUUUUGCUUCUUGGUGCUCUCCCUCCAUGGAAGGAGCUUGAGGCUUGGUUUUGGAGCUUGUUUGAGCGGAGAUUUUCAGAUCUUGAGGACUUGGACACUUGUUGGAGGCUUCCAAAGAGGUUAGAAGCUUAGUUUUUCCUUUUGAUCCUUAAUUUAUUGGAUUUCAUGAGAUGAAACCCUAGAAUGUGGACUUAGGGUUUGUUUUUGGGGGUUUUGGAUUUGGGGCUUCUUGAUCUAAAUUGAUGGAUUUAGAACUUUGGUUUAGGUUGGAUUUGAAGGGUUUUCACUCUCAUUUGGAGAUUGAGAGAAGAUUUCACCUCACAAGGUGAGUUUUGCCCCUUUUCUUGUAUUGGUUAAUGUUUAACCUAGGAGUUGUUN
rnacentral:lncRNA from 1 species